rnacentral:rRNA from 1 species
GGGGAAUAUUGCACAAUGGGGGAAACCCUGAUGCAGCGACGCCGCGUGAAGGAAGAAGUAUCUCGGUAUGUAAACUUCUAUCAGCAGGGAAGAGAUUGACGGUACCUGACUAAGAAGCCCCGGCUAACUACGUGCCAGCAGCCGCGGUAAUACGUAGGGGGCAAGCGUUAUCCGGAUUUACUGGGUGUAAAGGGAGCGUAGACGGAUGGACAAGUCUGAUGUGAAAGGCUGGGGCUCAACCCCGGGACUGCAUUGGAAACUGCCCGUCUUGAGUGCCGGAGAGGUAAGCGGAAUUCCUAGUGUAGCGGUGAAAUGCGUAGAUAUUAGGAGGAACACCAGUGGCGAAGGCGGCUUACUGGACGGUAACUGACGUUGAGGCUCGAAAGCGUGGGGAGCAAACAGGAUUAGAUACCCUGGUAGUCCACGCGGUAAACGAUGAAUGCUAGGUGUCGGGUGAC